GUCCUUGUUUUGGCAGCACAUAUAUGAAAAUUGGAAUGAUACAUAGUAGAUUAGUAUGGCCCCUGAGCAAGGAUGACACGCAAAUUUGUGAAGCAUUCCAUAUUUUU